rnacentral:rRNA from 1 species
GACGAACGCUGGCGGCGUGCUUAACACAUGCAAGUCGAACGGAAAGGCCCUGCUUUUGUGGGGUGCUCGAGUGGCGAACGGGUGAGUAACACGUGAGUAACCUGCCCUUGACUUUGGGAUAACUUCAGGAAACUGGGGCUAAUACCGGAUAGGAGCUCCUGCUGCAUGGUGGGGGUUGGAAAGUUUCGGCGGUUGGGGAUGGACUCGCGGCUUAUCAGCUUGUUGGUGGGGUAGUGGCUUACCAAGGCUUUGACGGGUAGCCGGCCUGAGAGGGUGACCGGCCACAUGGGGACUGAGAGACGGCCCAGACUCCUACGGGAGGCAGCAGUGGGGAAUAUUGCACAAUGGGCGGAAGCCUGAUGCAGCAACGCCGCGUGCGGGAUGACGGCCUUCGGGUUGUAAACCGCUGUCGCCUGUGACGAAGCGUGAGUGACGGUAAUGGGUAAAGAAGCACCGGCUAACUACGUG